CACACGGCAUCUUCAGACGCACACGCAAAGAAUACUGGAACACUUUUUUGAUCCGACCUUCGACGACGAAACGGUAGCGUUUUGAAUAUUGGUUUAUGAGCUAAAUUAGACGUGGAAAAUCAAAAAUCCAAAGAAAUCCAAAAUUAGACAUCGGAACGAGUCCAAAUUUUACACACAUGUUGGUGCUAACCUUAAUGUCGUACGAUAAAAAAUUCGGAAAAUGUCGCCAUUAGGGGGCGCCAUAAACGAGGAAAUUGUAUAUCUUCUAAUUGGCCAAAGGAAUGUUCCUCAAACUAUGAGGGAACCAUCAAGGGGCAAACCCGAGUCUAUAUAAAAAUUAUGGUCAAGAAUUAUUAAUGUGGGCGGGAGUUAUUUGGAAAAGGAAAAUUGUCUUUGCAAAAUUUCGCCACAAGAGGGCGCAAAAAAAACGACGAAAUAAAACAUCUAAUCGCCAAUGGAAUGUUCUGAAAACGCGUUUUGGGCUAUAACUCCCACACCGAACCUCCCACAGUCAAAACCUUUAUAUCCACAUGUUGUUCACGGUAGCGUUUUGAAUACUUGCUUCGCGUUCUGCCGGUGAAACGCACAUUUCUUGUCGCGUUGUGCCGGCGAAAUGCACACUUCUUGGACCCCUGCAUAACUGCUUGCAGUUCUAGUUAUUAUUAUACUUACCCCCCUAAAAGUGGUACCACAGCCCAAACCGUAAAUGGUGCCCACACGCCGAUUACAUGACUAGAUCCAGAUCUCUUCGGACUACGCAGACGACAAAAUCCAGACACGCCGGUCCCUAGGUGGCGCUAUACCAAGGAAUACGCGUUUGGGGCUAUAACUCCCACACCGAACCUCCCACAUUCAAAACCUUGUACACACAUAUUCACUGGAGUCUGCUGCAUCUUUUGGCAUAGGCCACGCCCAUUUGCGUCUAGAAUUUUUUUUCGCAAAAUCGCGAAAACCGCAAAACUGUUUUUUCGCUACUCCUCCCACAUUUCUCGACCAAUUGACACAAAACUUUGCACACGGCAAACGGUAGCGUUUUGAAUAUUGGUUUAUUAGCUAAAUUAGACGUGGAAUAUCAAAAAUCCAAAGAAAUCCAAAAUUAGACAUCGGAUCGAGUCCACAUUUUACACACAUGUUGGUGCUAACCUUAAUGUCGUUCGAUAAAAAUUUCGGAAAAUUUCGCCAUUAGGGGGCGCAAUAAACGAGGAAAUUGUAUAUCUUCUACUAAAUUUCGCCGCGAAAACGCCACACUGACUUCUCGCUACUCCUACCACAGUCAAAUCCUUUGUAUCCACAGGUUCAGGGUAGCGUUUUGAACACAUGCUUCGCUUUGUGCCGGCGAAACGCACAUUUCUUGUCGCGUUGUGCCGGCGAAAUGCACACUUCUUGGACCCCUGCAUAACUGCUUGCAGUUCUAGU
rnacentral:lncRNA from 1 species